UACGUAGGGUGCGAGCGUUAAUCGGAAUUACUGGGCGUAAAGCGUACGCAGGCGGCUUUGCAAGACAGGUGUGAAAUCCCCGGGCCUAACCUGGGAACUGCAUUUGUGACUGCAUGGCUAGAGUUUGUCAGAGGGGGGUGGAAUUCCACGUGUAGCAGUGAAAUGCGUAGAGAUGUGGAGGAAUACCGAUGGCGAAGGCAGCCCCCUGGGAUAACACUGACGCUCAUGCACGAAAGCGUGGGGAGCAAACAGG
rnacentral:rRNA from 1 species